UACAGAGGUCUCAAGCGUUGUUCGGAUUCAUUGGGCGUAAAGGGUGCGUAGGCGGCGCGGUAAGUCGGGUGUGAAAUCUCGGAGCUUAACUCCGAAACUGCAUUCGAUACUGCCGUGCUUGAGGACUGGAGAGGAGACUGGAAUUUACGGUGUAGCAGGUGAAAUGCGUAGAUAUCGUAAGGAAGACCAGUGGCGAAGGCGGGUCUCUGGACAGUUCCUGACGCUGAGGCACGAAGGCCAGGGGAGCAAACGGG
rnacentral:rRNA from 1 species